UUCCAUCCUGGCUGUAGACACUAGAGCCCAAGCUGUGUAUAGUGAAAAGGUGGUGGGAACACAACCUGUAAAUAAAUGGCACCAGUGGUUACUGAACCCCAGAGUCUCCAAGUGACUUUGUCAGCACAGCAGGGGCAGGAGCUAAGGGGGCCCUGCAGCAACCCUGCUACACAUGGGGGCUUGUCCAGGAUCUUGUGCCAGAGCAAGAGUUUGGCAGCCUGGAGAAGGAGGAGACCCUGUGAUGGCUGGUAAAACAGCAGGAAGAGGUACAAAAGGCUAUGGAAACCUUUCAGCAGUUUCAGCAGCAGGCCUUGCUUAACUGGCAAGCCGAGCAGCAGAAGAGCAUGCGAGAUUUUAUAUGAGAGCAGGCCAGCAUACAACAGCAGCUCCUCCAAAAGAUGGUGAAUCUUAUGGUGGGGGAUAGCAUUCAGGUGCUGGGCUUGGGACUUUGUAAGAUGGUCCCCGCAGAUGACUCCGAUAACUUCCUAGGCACUUUUGAGCAUGUAGCCAUGGGGGCAGGAUGAGAUAGGAUAACCUGGGCCCUGUGGCUGGCUUCCUACCUGGCUGGCAAAACCCAAGCGGCCUAUAUUGCCUUGAAUAAGGACCCAGCCAGGAGUGAGGAACUGACCAGGAGGUGCUAAAGACAGUCAUCCUAGAUUGGGUGGGGCUGUCCACUGAAAAGUACUGCCAGAGGUUCUGGGCAGCAAGGUGGACAGGAGGUUUGCGGCCCUGGGCGUUUGCCCAGAAGUUAAUGGACAGGCCACCCAAUGGCUGAGACCUGAUGCUCAGACAGUGGGGGAGAUCAUGGAUGUGCUUAUCUGAGGACAGCUUUUACAUGGCUUCCCCGAGAACAUAAGGGUAUGGGUGAGACGGCACUAACCGAGCACGGUAGAGACAGCGGUAAAACUGAUGGAGGAGUAUGCAGAGGCGGACUUUCCCAGGAAGGACAGAUGCCCAUAUAAGGAAGAAGAAACUGGGAAAAAAAGCCAGGGAACUCUUGACCAGGAAGGGUCCAGAGAAAAGAUAGAACAACCAUGGAGCUCCCACUGGAACCAGGCCACUCAUCUUCUGGCAGUGCGGGCAACCGGACCAUAGAAAGAGGGACUGGAUGGACAGGGAGUGUGGCUUCGCAGAGUUUUGCGGGUGGACCAACUCUGGAGGGCAGAGAAAGGGGCAGAAACUAUUCACCAUUCCCGUGAUGGUGGAGAGGAGAACCCAGUGGGGUCUAGUGGACAUGGCCUUGGCCUGUUCUCUUGUAAGGAGCGGGCAGGAGAAGCCGCAAUGGAUGAUUCACAGUGCCAGAGUGAAUUUGGAGUGCAUCCAUGGGGAUGUAUGGAAGCUUUGGGAUCAGUGUGUUAAGUCUUUGAUGAUGAACCAUAAAGACCAAACAAGUUUCUCAAGCCCCAUUUCUCUGAUACAGUAUCUGGAAUGCCUGAAGGAAAGUUAUGAGGGGUUAGUCUGUGGGAGUAGGUGUUAUGAAUGACUAUGGGCCAUUUUAUACCAUGAGCUGUUAAACAGAAUUUCUCAAGGAUUUCAGUGGAAACAUCUGCUCAAGAAUUAAUGGUGCAAUAUUGAGAUCUGAGCCUGUGCUGCACAAGGAGAGACACAUCACUUCAAAGAACUCCAGCUGAUACAAAGCCUGAAAAUUUCUAAGGCAUUACUCCUUUGAAGUCCUGCAAGACAUGUUUCAUCUUGGUAAUUUUUAAAUGAGCUUUUCUCUGUCAACAUGAAGAACCCAGAAGAGAGAAACUUUCUGAGUUUUAACCAAGUUCCCAGAUAGAAAUAUGGCUGUAAAUUGUUGAGUUUGUGAGCAGACCAACAACAUUGGUCAUAAGAUGUCCAUGUUUAUUUUUCAUUUGGGUGGUGAAUGAAUGUUGAGUUGCUGGUUGUUGCAUCUCCAAGACUAAUCACUUUGGGGAGAGGAAGUCAACACACCAGCAACCAGACCACUCCACCCUUUUUGUCCUGUCUUCAUGCACCCGAGGAAGAUCUGCUAGCAAGAGUUUCUGUGCCAGCAACAUCAUCUGCUUCCUUGAUUGCAGUUCCAGCUCCUAUUCCAUGACAGUCUAGAAAAUUGAGAGCUGAAGAAGUUUGAAGCCGCCCUCUAACCUCAAAGAUCUAUUUUUUCCCUUUUUACUGGUUUUGUUUUUAUUAGCUGAGGGACAGCCUUUUUAUAUUCUUUGAAGUAUGAGAGUAUGGUUGUGUGUAGGUAUGUCUGUCUAUAAAGUCCACACUGGGAACAUGCCACACACAGAAAAUGAUCUAGGUUUUACCUGGCUUAAGUGUUGUCUCAUUAAAAAAAUCAUUACUGUGUGUUCUGUAUUUAAGCCGUUAUUUAUAUAAAUAUUGGUACAUAGGAGUUGUCAAACUUCCGCUUGAGGAAAAAAGGGUUCUAUUAGUCUGUCCCUUAUCUGCUGGGUAGGGAAGAAAGGGUUUAGACCUCAUGCAACAAUUGAAAUCAAAGAAACAAGCUUUAUAAUUGGCACUAAGGUUAUGGUUCAGACACUGGAUCAUUUGGUUUCAGUAUUAAGAUAUUUUACCAGCUCCCAGUUAUAGCUUUGACUGACUUUGGUAAACUUCUUUAGUUGGGAUUUAUAAUCAGAUGGACAGCAACCUCCUUAGAUCUCUUCUUCAGAAUUAUAAGAGUUGGUUAUCUGUUGUAUUAACCUAGUGAUUUAACCAAUCUGAUAAUUUAA